CCUACGGGAGGCAGCAGUGGGGGAUAUUGGACAAUGGGGGGAACCCUGAUCCAGCGACGCCGCGUGAGUGAAGCAGUAUUUCGGUAGGUAAAGCUCUGUCAGCAGGGAAGAAAGCAAUGACGGUACCUGACCAAGAAGCCCCGGCUAACUCCGUGCCAGCAACCGCGGUAAUACGGAGGAUGCGAGCGUUAUCCGGAUUUAUUGGGUUUAAAGGGUGCGCAGGCGGAGGUGCAAGUCAGCGGUCAAAUUGCGGUGCUCAACCCCGUACUGCCGUUGAAACUGCAUCCCUUGAGUGCGAGAGAAGUAUGCGGAAUGCGUGGUGUAGCGGUGAAAUGCAUAGAUAUCACGCAGAACUCCGAGUGCGAAGGCAGCAUACCGGCGCGCAACUGACGCUCAUGCACGAAAGCGUGGGUAUCGAACAGGAUUAGAUACCCCAGUAGUC
rnacentral:rRNA from 1 species